AGAUUGAACGCUGGCGGCAGGCCUAACACAUGCAAGUCGAGCGGUAGAGAGGUGCUUGCACCUCUUGAGAGCGGCGGACGGGUGAGUAAUGCCUAGGAAUCUGCCUAGUGGUGGGGGAUAACGUUCGGAAACGGACGCUAAUACCGCAUACGUCCUACGGGAGAAAGCGGGGGACCUUCGGGCCUCGCGCCAUUAGAUGAGCCUAGGUCGGAUUAGCUAGUUGGUGAGGUAAUGGCUCACCAAGGCGACGAUCCGUAACUGGUCUGAGAGGAUGAUCAGUCACACUGGGACUGAGACACGGCCCAGACUCCUACGGGAGGCAGCAGUGGGGGAAUAUUGGACAAUGGGCGAAAGCCUGAUCCAGCAAUGCCGCGUGAGUGAUGAAGGCCUUAGGGUGUAAAGCUCUUUUACCCGGGAUGGAUAA
rnacentral:rRNA from 1 species